UAGUCUGAAAUCUAGUCAAAUCGAAAAUCAAAGUGCCAAUGCCUCUUUAUGAUAAAUCAACCACUUUAUUUACAAUAAUUCCAUAGGAUCUGACGAAAUAGUAAAUAAGAGACGAAUAUAAUACAGGGAUAUGAGUGAAAGGACAAUAAAAAUGACAUAGUUUUAACAACUACAUGUAUUAUAUUAGUUUCUGUCAUUGAGUGGAGUCUGAUAUAUUCAUUCUUGACAAUCACAAUGAAUCUACUUUUUAAAGUUUUACUACUGGGGAUAUUAUGUAUAUUUCUGUUAAGUGUAACUUCUGCAAAACAGAGAGGCACGGAAGGUUUAACUGGUACAAUUCUGGCCAGAAUUAUGUGUCAGAUGUGCAAAAAAAAGGGUGAUUUACAAUGUAUGAGGAGAUACUGUUUAACAGACAUGUGUCUUAUGAAAAAAACAGAAAUGAAAUUAAAUGAAAUGGCCUAUGUUGUUGAUCCUAAAUGUCAUUAGUUUCAUUUCAAGCAGAACCCGUUUUUAAACUCAAAAUAGAGAUUAUGUAAACAGUUUCUUUAAAACUAUGUAAAAUAUUUAUUUGUUUAUAUUCCACUUUUCAAAUAAAUACUUUUUCUUUA